GGGUUGUGAGGUUAAGCGACUAAGCGUACACGGUGGAUGCCCUGGCAGUCAGAGGCGAUGAAGGACGUGCUAAUCUGCGAAAAGCGUCGGUAAGGUGAUAUGAACCGUUAUAACCGGCGAUGUCCGAAUGGGGAAACCCAGUGUGAUUCGUCACACUAUCGUUAACUGAAUACAUAGGUUAACGAGGCGAACCGGGGGAACUGAAACAUCUAAGUACCCCGAGGAAAAGAAAUCAACCGAGAUUCCCCCAGUAGCGGCGAGCGAACGGGGAGCAGCCCAGAGUCUGAAUCAGCUUGUGUGUUAGUGGAACGGUCUGGAAAGUCCGACGGUACAGGGUGAUAGUCCCGUACACCAAAAUGCACAGGCUGUGAACUCGAAGAGUAGGGCGGGACACGUGGUAUCCUGUCUGAAUAUGGGGGGACCAUCCUCCAAGGCUAAAUACUCCUGACUGACCGAUAGUGAACCAGUACCGUGAGGGAAAGGCGAAAAGAACCCCGGCGAGGGGAGUGAAAAAGAACCUGAAACCGUGUACGUACAAGCAGUGGGAGCACCUUUGGGUGUGACUGCGUACCUUUUGUAUAAUGGGUCAGCGACUUAUAUUCUGUAGCAAGGUUAACCGUAUAGGGGAGCCGCAGGGAAACCGAGUCUUAACUGGGCGUUAAGUUGCAGGGUAUAGACCCGAAACC
rnacentral:rRNA from 1 species